rnacentral:lncRNA from 10 species
UCUCUGCCCGGCCGCCCAUCGUCUGAGAUGUGGGGAGAGCCUCUGCCCCGCCGCCCCGCCUGGGAUGUGAGGAGCGCCUCUACCCGGCCGCGACCCCGUCUGGGAGGUGAGGAGCGUCUCUGCCCGGCCGCCCCGUCUGAGAAGUGAGGAGACCCUCCGCCUCGCAGCCGCCCCGUCUGAAAAGGUGGCUGUCAAUAGAUUGGCCCAAAAGGAAGAACAAGGAAAAGGGCACCAAAGAAGAUAAAUGAAAAUACAAGGGUAUAAGCUGAACUGUGGACAUCCUGCCACUGGGAAUUAAGUUAAAGUAGAAAAAAGCAGAAUGUAAUGGGGAGUCCCCUCACAAGAAGAAUUUGGAUCAAAGCAUGGCAGUGAGGGGAAGCAUUGAGCAGUGCCGAUUUCAAAUGAAGACUGACUUGAUCCUGAACAUAACCUACAAGAAGAAAGGGACCACAGGCUAUACACAAAGCAUGGUGCCGGCAUCUGCUUCUGGUGAGGGCCUCAGGAAGCUUACAAUCAUCUUGGAAGGUGAAGAGGAAGCCAGCGCAUCACAUGGCAAGAGAGGGAGCAAGAGAGAAGGGGACAGUGCCGCACACUUUAAAAAAAAACCUUAUCUCACGAGGCAGAACUAACUGAGUGAGAGUUCACUCAUCACCAAGGGAAUGGUGCUGAGUCAUUCAUGAGGGAUCCCCCUGCCGCCCCCGUGAUCCAAUCACCUCCCACCAGACCCCACCUCCAACACUGGGGAUUACAUUUCAACAUGAGACUUGGGGGGGACAAACAUCCAAACCAUGUCAGUCUUCAACCCCUCUUCCUGACAUACAACUCCUAAAACUCUUAGAAUCUCCAAAGUGCUGUCUUUUUAUGUGUUAGUAAUUGGCUAGUGGCUCACAGCCC